rfam:Vagococcus teuberi strain DSM 21459, complete genome.
UCUCAUUUAAACGACACAAUCCCGAACCUCUAUUGCGUCCUUGUAGCCCUAUAGCUACGCCAGUUUGAAUAAAUUUCAUUAAAAUAUU